rnacentral:rRNA from 1 species
GGAUUAGAUACCCUGGUAGUCCACCCCGUAAACGUUGGGAACUAGUUGUGGGGUCCAUUCCACGGAUUCCGUGACGCAGCUAACGCAUUAAGUUCCCCGCCUGGGGAGUACGGCCGCAAGGCUAAAACUCAAAGGAAUUGACGGGGACCCGCACAAGCGGCGGAGCAUGCGGAUUAAUUCGAUGCAACGCGAAGAACCUUACCAAGGCUUGACAUAUACGAGAACGGGCCAGAAAUGGUCAACUCUUUGGACACUCGUAAACAGGUGGUGCAUGGUUGUCGUCAGCUCGUGCC